UACGGAGGGUGCAAGCGUUAUCCGGAAUCACUGGGUUUAAAGGGUGCGUAGGCGGCGCGAUAAGUCAGUUGUGAAAUUCCCCGGCUUAACCGGCGGGACUGCGAUUGAUACUGUCGUGCUUGAAUCAGGUUGAGGUAGGCGGAAUGUGGCAUGUAGCGGUGAAAUGCUUAGAUAUGCCAUAGAACACCGAUUGCGAAGGCAGCUUGCUGGACCUUUGAUUGACGCUGAGGCACGAAAGCGUGGGGAGCAAACAGG
rnacentral:rRNA from 1 species